rnacentral:rRNA from 1 species
UACGUAGGUGGCAAGCGUUGGCCGGAUUUAUUGGGCGUAAAGAGCGCGCAGGUGGUUGAUUAAGUCUGAUGUGAAAGCCCACGGCUUAACCGUGGAGGGUCAUUGGAAACUGGUCGACUUGAGUGCAGAAGAGGGAAGUGGAAUUCCAUGUGUAGCGGUGAAAUGCGUAGAUAUUAGGAGGAAUACCAGUGGCGAAGGCGACUUUCUGGACACAAACUGACGCUGAGGUACGAAAGCAUGGGGAGCAAACAGGAUUAGAUAU